GGAGCUUGCUCCGCUGACGAGUGGCGAACGGGUGAGUAAUGCGUCGGAACGUGCCGAGUAGUGGGGGAUAACGCAGCGAAAGUUGUGCUAAUACCGCAUACGUACUGAGGUAGAAAGUGGGGGACCUUCGGGCCUCACGCUAUUCGAGCGGCCGACGUCUGAUUAGCUAGUAGGUGAGGUAAGAGCUCACCUAGGCGACGAUCAGUAGCGGGUCUGAGAGGAUGAUCCGCCACACUGGGACUGAGACACGGCCCAGACUCCUACGGGAGGCAGCAGUGGGGAAUUUUGGACAAUGGGCGAAAGCCUGAUCCAGCCAUGCCGCGUGUCUGAAGAAGGCCUUCGGGUUGUAAAGGACUUUUGUCGGGGAGGAAAUCCCCAGCGCUAAUACCGCUGGGGGAUGACAGUACCUGAAGAAUAAGCACCGGCUAACUACGUGCCAGCAGCCGCGGUAAUACGUAGGGUGCAAGCGUUAAUCGGAAUUACUGGGCGUAAAGCGUGCGCAGGCGGUUUGAUAAGCCAGAUGUGAAAUCCCCGAGCUCAACUUGGGAACUGCGUUUGGAACUGUCAGACUAGAGUGCGUCAGAGGGGGGUGGAAUUCCGCGUGUAGCAGUGAAAUGCGUAGAGAUGCGGAGGAACACCGAUGGCGAAGGCAGCCCCCUGGGAUGACACUGACGCUCAUGCACG
rnacentral:rRNA from 1 species